rnacentral:lncRNA from 1 species
UUAUCCCUCCAACUUUUUGCUGUAAAAUAUUCCCUCCCUCCACUGUGCAAAGACACAUUCUCCCACAAGUUGCAAAGCGAUCUUCUCUGCUACAAUAAGCCGUAAAAUUGAGCAAAUAUACAUAUAUCUCUCUCUAUCAUAGUUGUUAGCGCCUAACUCAUCUAUUUCACCAUCACCAACCACCAUCACCAGGUAAUCUCUCGAUAUUUUUCCUUUGGGUUUUGAUUUUGAUGACCCUCUGCUCGUGAAAUGCAAACAAAAGUAUAUAAAUAUUAAUUUUGCGUUCGUAGUGAGCGCAUAAGAAGGUGUGCCUUCUUUAGUUCCUUAUGCCGAUUAGAUUAAAUACAAUUUUGAUCGAUCCUGAAGAACUAGGGUUUCACUAUUGGUCACUGCUCUUUUGUUCGUUUCUCUGUGUUUUCGACCUUAUUUAUUUCUUCUUCCUUUGAUGGAGGACUCAUUAAAUGUAAGUUUUUUUUCUCUGGAACCUCUAUUGGGAAAGUUCAAUAUAGACUUACCUAACCUAAGUUUGAUCCAUAAUUUUUAUGCGGAAUUGAGAAAAAGAAAGUAAAAUUUAAGGUGCAUUCUGGUGAAUUUGGUCUUGUGAAAAAAUUGAGAUUUUAUUUGAUAAUUUGAAUUGCAAUACGGGUAUGUUUCUCAAGUUCUGUUGAAGACACACCUUUUUAUAUAAAAUCAAAUUGAUAUGCAUUUAAACUGCUUGUAGUGAGUAUAAUUUAAUUACUAAUAUUUUUUUAUAAUAAGUGCAGGUGAAUUCACAAUAUAGGGAUGUUUCUUAUGUCUUUACAUUGUGUUGUCUUGUCCCAUACUCUAAUAAAGUAAGUUUUCCUUUUCUGUUGAUAAUUGAGAUUAUAGAAAAUAUAGUAGCUGACUUUUUUGAAUUACAUCUCUAGUUCUUUAUUAUGUCUUUGUACUGAAAAUUUGUUUUUGUAUUGUUCUUGAUAUAAUAGUGUUAUACAUCUGAUAAAAGAUGUUCAAUCAUUUGCUGUAACAUGAAUUGAUUUAUGUAUGAGAGAACAUUGUCUAUCCAAUAUAAGUUAUGUAUGAGAGAACAUUGUCUAUCCAAUAUAAGUUAUUUAAAUAGUUCAUUAUAUAAUUCAUUAGAUGUGAAUUGUUUAUGGACUAAAUUUGCUUCGCUUACUUAUUCAUGUUAAUUAACUGUUUACCUUAUUUUGAGUUGAAACAUUCUUGGUUGUAUUCCUAAGUUGUCUCAUAUAGAGAAGAAUUAGAAGUGAAUUUCGUAUGAAGUUCUUAAAUAAUGAAGGCUGAAACCUUAUUACUCCGUUUUCUACUGACAUAUUGUUCUUAUAAUAAAAACUAAAUUGUUCUGUCCACCUUAUUUCAUUUAUGUACAUGCAUGUAUCUAGUGUGUUCUGUUGUAAUAAAACUUGAAUUCUUUAUUUUCGUGGCAUAGUACUUUUUUUUCUUAUUAAACAAUUUAAUUGGUAUCUUCUAUGCCCAAUAUUAAUAUUCAUUAUCUAUCAAACUAAAUUAUUAAGCAUCAUAUGUCCAAACCACUGAAGUAAGUUAACUGAUUGCAUCCACUGUACGUAUCAUUUCUGUUGAAUUAGAAGAUAUUUUUCAAACUUUAUUAUCUGCCACUGUUGGUGUAAGUUAUUUGAUGCAAGGUAUACUAAUUUUGGUUUACAUUAGAUUUUAUAUUUUGGCAUUCAUUUUAUUUCACUUCUAGCUAUUUUAGUUUCAUUUAUUUUUUGGUUCUUGCAUCAUUUUUUCUAUGGGUUUUAUUGAUGAUAUUGAUAUAUUGUCUCUCUUCGUUUCCUUGAGCUGUGGGUCUUUCGAAAACAGUCUCUCAGUCUCUCGAUAUAAGAAUAAGAUCUGCGUACACACUACCCUUCCCGAAUGCCACUAAUGAAAUCUUACUGAAUGAAAUAUUUCGGCGUGAGAUGAUUAUUUUAUGGUAUUUGCGUUUUUCGCAGUUGAACAGUCCAAACCAAGUAUUCAG